AUUAAAUAGUACUAUAUUUAAUUGUAAUAUGGCUUUGUAAGUGAAUGGUGAAAACAAAUCGAAAAUAAACCCCGAUUUGUUAGGCGAAAACCGCGUAGGACAAUAUUUUUAGUGUGCAGUACUGCCACUGCAGUACGUUAAUAUGCGACCGGAUCGGGUUUCCGAAAACGGUUAUUAUUUUCGAACAAGAACCGUGCGUCGGAUUAUCA